ACCAAGAAGGUUACACAACCGGCCUGAUAAAUUUGACGCCAAGUCAUGGUUAUGAACUCCACAAAGCAUUGCAAUCCACCAUUCUUGUGUUUUUUUUUCAAAGAAGCAUUUCAACCUAAACGGACAAUUACACUUCCUUGAGCUCGUGCCUUCAAGCUUCGGCUUCUUCCUCGUCUUAGGUGGCUUGUAUUCACCACUCCUCUCACAUUGCAUCGUCAUGUAUGGCACUAUUGUACUAGAUUUAUCUGUAGAAAUAGUAAAUCCAGCCCUAGCCGCUUGUUGACGAAUCCAACCAAGUAAUUCUUCUCGAUCUUUCCAUCUUUCAUUUGUUGUAAAAAAUGACCCGGUGUUUACUUGAAUAAUACGAACACCGGUAGGUACCGGUUUAGGCUUCUCUUCAAAGUUACCGGUAGGUACCGGUUUUGCUUGGUUGUGAACUAUGUGAGCUUCAACUUGAAAAGGAAUUUUCACUUUAAACUUCACAUCAUUGGUUGGUUUUCCUUCGCCGGAACCUACGCCUACGCCGGAAGCUUUAUUUUUGCCCGGUUUCGCCUCAACGCCAUCCUCCGCCAUAUUUUCAACCAUGCCACUCAAUAUCUACUCAAUAAAAAAAACAAAGAAAAAAAUAAAUAAAUGACUUGUGCGGCAAGCAAAGCAAAUAAAAAAAGUGGCGCAAAAUUUCAAAUUCUAGGCUACUGUCAGUAGCGUGAGUUAACUCACGCUAGUCCUAUCUACCUACGCAACUUAAGUCACGUUUCCCUUACAACUAGCGUGAGUUAACUCACGCUGAGCCCUACGCCUACUGAAAUGAAAAACGAAACUACCAGCAAAAAUGAAAAAGUUUUGACGAUACAUUACAUGUUCUUUGAUGCUUGAUGAGCGUAGAAACUUGUUUCCUGACGAUUUGCAAUGAUUUGAAAUGAAGAUUUUUACCCAAAAUUUUGCACUUUUGGAAUUUUUGGAGGUGGAGUGAAAGAAAAAAUGGAACUUUGUGGUUUUGAACAAAAAUAGUAUUUAACGCAUGCAAGUUAACAUGCGCUACGUGACUUAAGUCACGUAGCGCAUGUUUACUUGCGUAGGGGUAUUUCGGUCAUUUACUUUGAAAAUGAGCGGAACCAUUUGAGUAAUGAGCAGAAUUCAAGUGCUACUAGUAACAGUAACUGUAAUCGUUUGCUUUGUUGGAAGUAAAUGUAACAUUCCAUAAGCUAAUUGCAGUAUAAGUACUUACAUUACAAUUCAUUAACAACACAUCACUGGAUUUUAGAUGCAUGUGCAAAAUGUGCAAAAAAAAAAUUACACGUAUAUAAAUUAAACUUUUUCAUCCCUUAAAAAUCUGAGAUUUUUUCUAGUUUUUUUUUUUAUUUUUUUAUUGAGGGAAGAUUUUUCUAGUUAUGACGUGGUGAUAUUGGUUAUGAUGUGGAAGAGAUUUCUCUAGUUAACUUGACUUAAUCAAUAUAUCCGUUAUUUUAUGCAUAUCCAAAAAAAAAAAAAAAAAAAACUUAGUAGUUAUUUAAAAACUGGUCCUAAGCCAAAAUCUACCACGCUACAUUUCAUAACUUCCCAAUAUUAUAACUCGCCAACUUCUCGGAACUGCUACUCACUUGAGAAAUUAUCAUCAAUGGCCAACAAACGUGAAGACAUUCAUGAUCAUGACGAUGAACUUUCAAGUGUUGAAGAAGGAAACCCUAACGUCAUGCAACUUUGUUGUUCAUCAAACAAUGCUAUCACCUUGAUACAAAAGGUAAGUGUGACUUAAUUGGUCACUUGUCUCAUAAAUUAAUAUCAAUUAAUUUUUUAAUCAAGAAUGUGGAGACAUGCUAUAAUUCAAGGCGUUGAUCACUUACGAAGAGAAUUACAUUUACUUCACCCUAAGUAUAUGUUUUCGUGGUGGAAACUUUCUUAGACAUCAAAACUUAACAGCAACACCGUAUUUUGAUGUCAUUUCAUAUAAUUUUCCUUUUUUUUUUAUUUUUAUUUUUUUUACUUUCCUCAGAAUCGAACCAACAUUGAAAACUAGUGUAUUUUUUACUGUUUGGGUAUACGAUGUUGGAUUCUUUGUGUUCAAAUAUCGUGUUCAUUUGACGAAGAGGUUUAAAUGGUUUUUAGAGAUAAUGAUUUUGAAGGUCUAAGUCUAGCUUCUUAAAUCUAUGUUUGAUAUAUGCUAGAAUUGCGGUGAUCCACGGUGAUUUUGCAUAAACUAUAAAGUGUAGCUUUUAAAAAGUCACGUGUAUCACUGUGAUUCUAACAUACCCACAGUAAAACCAAAUAUACAUUAAAUCUUUCAUCCAAUCGUAACCAAAGAGCAAGUGAAAGUUCGUGCCUACAACAUGUUGGAUACAUAAUACAAACCAUGUCAUUUUCCACAACAUUAAACGUUUAGAAUUAUAAUACACAUGAAUUCGGACACAAAAUAAAUUUAUGAGUAAAAUAAAAUAAGACACAUGUGUAUUGAUUAAUUUAUUUUCUCUUGAUUGUCACUAGGUGAUUGCAGAAAUCAUUGGGACAUAUUUUGUGGUGUUUGCUGGAUGUGGGUCUGUAGCAGUGGACAAGAUCUAUGGGUCUGUCACAUUUCCAGGGGUAUGUAUCACUUGGGGGCUUAUUGUAAUGGUCAUGUCUUACUCUGUUGGUCAUAUCUCUGGAGGACAUUUCAACCCUGCUGUUACCAUCACAUGGACCAUCUUUCGUAGGACCUCACUUAAAGAGGUACUUAUUUACAUUUUUGUGAUUAAUAACUUUAUAAAAAAAAUUUAGUUUCAUAAGUGACUAAUGCUUUAAUGAAUAUUUCAUUCAUUUGUGUUCUAUAUGAAUCAUUCUAACUACCAUAUGUUUUCUUGUGCAUGUAGGCUCCACUAUACAUUUUUGCUCAGUUGGUAGGAUCAACGCUUGCGAGUGGAACAUUAUCACUAAUGUUCGAUGUCACGUCCAAAACUUAUUUUGGAACCGUACCAGUUGGAUCAAAUGGCCAGUCUUUAGUUGUAGAAAUCAUCAUCAGUUUUCUCUUAAUGUUUGUCAUUUCAGCGGUUUCAACCGACGAAAGAGCGGUAUGCACUCGUAAAUAUCUACACAUUAAGGGAUAUACGCUUGUCGGUGCAAAACAAUUUUAUACUAACAUCCAAUGAUGAUUACAUUUUAUUUCGCAGGUGAAUGAUUUCGCAGGUGUUGCAGUUGGAAUGACUAUAAUGUUGAAUGUCUUCAUUGCUGGGUAAUUAAUUAUUGGUUAAAUACUAAUUUUUUGCAUGACAAAUUAAAACUGUCCAUGAGAGUGACAUAUAAAUAAAUAAAACUGAAUUUAAAUUUGUUGCAGGCCUGUAUCAGGAGGAUCUAUGAACCCAGCAAGAAGUAUUGGUCCUGCACUUAUAGUACAUGUUUACAAAGGACUAUGGAUAUAUGUGGUUGGUCCAAUUGUUGGAGCUAUAGCUGGAGCAAUUGCAUAUAACUUUCUUAGAUCCAUAAAGUCACCUUCAGAGUUAGCAGAUGAACAAUUCAGGAACAUUGUUGUAGGUUGAUUAAUUAAGAGUUAUGUAGUAUUUUCUUUAUUUUUAAGUAGGUACUGCUUUGGUUUAAUAGCUAGUGUUUGAUUUUUUAGCGUAAUGUAAUAAAUUAUGACUGCAUUUUAUGCUAUUAGUAGUGGUUAAUAGACAUGUUUACUUUUAAAUUAUGGAAAAUUAGUGUAAUAGAAUUGUUUGGAUUAGUUCAUUUAACUUUGUCUUGCCCUGCCUAACCUUUUGUACUUGUGCCAAUUGUUAGGUGCUAAAAUCAAUUCUCAGACAAUUUAUAUGUUAUAAGCUAACAAUUUAGUCCUGUCAUGCCAAACAUAGUCUUAAAAAGCAACGAAAAUACAUGGCAACAACUGAAUUAGUUCAUGGCAUGCUAAAUUAAUCAAUUCAACAAAGGAAGUUUAUAUAUAAGAGAGAGAGAGAAGAAAAAAAAAAGGGGGGGUUAAAAUGAAAUAUAAGACAACGUGCCAAAAUAUGAAAAAUAAAAUGGGGAUGAACAAGAAGAAUAAGGAACAAAAAUAAAUCAAACUGUUGUUCUUGAUGAGUAAGAUCAGCUUCAUGAAGUCACCCAAAUAUAAUAGUGAUUGACAUUGCUCCCAAACAAGCCAAAACCAUAAACCCUACAGCUCUAUUUUGAGCAGCAGAGUAAUAAUAGUAUACAUCCGUAGGCUCACCCGACACAUAUAUGAACCUCGGUGGAGGUGGUGUUGGUGGUGGUCGUGAUCGCGGUGGAGGUGGAGGUGGAGAUGAUGGUUGUUGUGGUGGUGACGGUGGUGGAUUACUAUUUAUUGGGGAGGAAUACUCGGGGAGCGGUAGGGAUUCUGGUGGUGGUGUAGGAGGUGGUUGCGGCGGUGAAAGUUGUUCAUCACAAGGGUUUCCACAAGGACAUGAUCCACAUUUGAUUUCAACGUCUAAUGGCUUAGAAGCCAAUGAUAAUUGGUCUAAUUUGCUAGAUGAGUAUGCAUUAAUUGUGAUGAAGAAAAGAAGAACUAUUGUAAAUAUUUGAGAACUAUGUUUUGGAGACACCAUUGUAUGAGUAGUGACUUUGAAUUUGAUUGAUUUUGAGGCAAGGUAUAAUAGAUAGAAGAGCUUGUAUAUGAAGUAGGGUGUGUGUAGAAUUUGGUUAUGCUAUUCUUGGCUUACUUAUAUUGCACGAAUGCUGUGCCAACGGCUCAAAGCAAAUAUUACUCAUUAAGUAACCAAAAAAUUCGAGUGGAAACUUUAUUUAAUUAGUGUAUUUGUAUUUGUAUAAGUUUGUGUGUUUAGUAGAAACAUGAUACUCCAAGAUAAGAGUGUAGACGAGUUUUAUUUUUAUUUUUAUGGAAGAGUGUAACCAGUUAUAAGUUGAAUUAUCGAAUAUUACUUGAUAUUUUAACUCAUUAAUAUAAUUAUAUUUAUAUGGGAAAUUAAUAACUGUUGAAUUUUAUGUAACCAAUUAUGUUUUUAAAUUCCAUGAACAAGAAUUAAGGAGCAAUAUAAGAUGAUCUUUAAAUUUGUUGAUCGAGUGGAGUCUAAUGUUCGAAAAGUUAUUGAUUUGAGUCCCAUACCCUAAACUUUUAUUAACAAAAAAAUAACAUUAUAUCUUUAUUCCCAACACUUAUAUGAUCUAAGUAUAUAUAUUCUUGCCUUUUGCAUCAGGCAUGGUGAUGAUGAUGAUGAGUGACUCUCUGCCCCACCCUUUCAUUUACAGUUUUAUGAUACUAUUCAACUUAAUUUGAUAGCUGGUAUGAGAUAAGGUGUUCACACAAAUAUAGUUGUUAGGGCCGGCUUAAGAGUAAGACCAUCAAAACCUCCACUUUAGGCCAAUAAACAAAAAAAAAAAAAACAUUAAAUUUUAUUAGCAAAAAAGCAGCAUGUGCAAACAAAAUAAACCUUAUAUAUUAAAAUUUGCUUAGGUCUCAUUUAUUUUUGAAGAUUAUUUGGCUCUGAUAGUUGCUUGUGCAUUGGAGAAUCUAAUGUGUAUAUAUAUGUGCAAAUUAAAGAAUAAUAAGGUACAAUAAAACUAGUGAGUUAUGUCAGUUUUUAUAAGAUAAAGGCUAUGCUCUUAAAAAACUAAAAAAUGUAUACAGCAAAAAAGAGAAAGAGAAAAAAAAAAUAUGUCGUAUUUCUCAAUAAUUAUUAACGUACUUCAAUAAUGAAAUGCCUCUACUUUUUUUCUUCUUCUUUUAUUUUUCAUUUUUUUUUUAAUAAAAAUGCCUCUUCUUUUUAGAUUUUGAAUAAAAAUGCCUCAUCUUUUUAGAUUGUGACAAACGUUAGUUCGUUAAUAAAUUAGUGAGUUAUGUUAGUUUUUAUAAUUUGAACCCAUGGUUAAUAAUCCUUCAAUGUUUCUCAAGAAGGUUAUAUUAUGAUCAUUAAUUACAAAAUGCCUACUACAGUGGUUCACUUUGCAUAAAGUGUAUAUAGUUGCCAUUAUUCUUCCCUGUUAGUGGGUUUAUUCGAUACCUUUAUUUAAUGUAGCUUGCACUUAUAACAUAAGAAUCUCUCGCUUAUGCUUUUUCCUUUUUUUGUGUGACAAAAUUGUGGUAUUUUUCCUAACAUCCUUUAUGUUGUGAACCUUAUAAAAGUAUUAGGAAGAGAGAACACACUAGCGUUUUAGGAAUCUCAAAUUAUUUAUUUUAUUUACAAACAUUUGAAUGUUUUAACGGCGAUUCAAAUUGUGUUCUAACUUAACCAUAGUCUAGGUUCAAAUUUAGCUUUAAACAUGCAGCAAAAGUUUAUUGUCCGUUUGAAUUCCAACAAGUUUGAGAGAUUAAUUUUCGCAAAUGCAUAGGGAGGAUACCAGUUUACACAAAAAAAGUUGUGUAUAAUAAAGUUAAUGGAUGGUAAUACGUAGUGGGUCAAUCAAUCUGAAAAGUGAGCUCCAUAUAAGUAAUAAUGAAAAAAAAAUAUUAGACCUUAACUGGUCAUGCACCCUACUAGUAGAAUCCUAAAAAUCGAAAUUUUUUUGAGGAUUUACCUAAAAUCUGAAAUUUAUGGGUGGAAUCACUUCUACAAUGUUUUAAAUAGGUAAAUAAUUCAAAAUAUUAUCUUAAUUAUAAAACCAAAAUAUAUCUAAUCGCUAAAAUAAGUGUAAUGUUCAACCUUGUAUCAAAAUAUACAAAAUUAUCCCAUAAAAUCAUUAAAACAUCCAACAAACAAUAAAAAUAAAAUAAAAAGUCUUGCUAACGAGUGCCCUAAAGACAUUGGUUAAAGAUCCCUUAAUAGAAACUUUGUAUUAGUAAUACAAGAAUUACUUUUGUCUUAGCAAUAAUUAUACCACUUUUUAAUACAAACUUAAUUAUUUUAGAACUUUAACCAUUGCUCCAAGGGCACUUUUUAGCAUUCCAAAAAAAUAAUAUUCAUAAGCUUUAAAGUUGUUGACAAAAAACUAUCCAAAAAAAUUAGAGUUAGGGUUUCACCUUUUUAGUUUAAAUGUUUGGUUAAGUUGUUUGUUAUUGAAAGUAUUGCACUCUCACGCGUUAAAUGAGCUUAUGGGUCACAAAGAAAAAAAAGACUAAAAGAAAGACUUUAUUAAAGUAAACUUGUUUAAAAUUGGAUGAGAUUGUCCGAUUUUGUUGCGGGUUAAAUCGCUCAAACUCAGUACAUUCUCCAAUUUCACUAUUAAACAAGUUUGUCACUAAAUUCACACCUUAAAACGUAAGCUCAAGCGAAUUUAGGAGUUAACACUCAAGUUUGGUGUCUAUCUUUGUGUUUUUUUUUUUUGUAGAUGUGGUUUAUGAUAGCUAAACAAUAUUUGUAUCAUUAUCCGGCUUUGUUCCAUUAUGGCACAUCUUGUGUUUGUAUUUUUAAAGUUCAGUGCAAAAUUAGGAAAAUUCACUAAAUUGUUUAAUUUUUCUUUCACAAAUUGAUGAACUAAAUUGCUUUAUAAUAUCAAGGUUGCACAAAAUGGUAUUGUUGGCUCACUUUCUUACAAAUAAUCACCUCAUGCUUAUACCUUUGUAAUUAAUUGAGCGUGAUUGUUUAAGGACCAUAGAUAAAUAGAAUUGUUAUUUAAGUAUUAAAGUAUCUAUAUAGCAUUGUAUGUGUUUAUCUUUUUCUUUUGCUUCCUUUAUACGAAAUUUAAAAAUAUGCAUAAAAACCAACGAGACUAUUUGAUAUUAAUAAGUCUCACGUCUAACAAUCAUUUCCUUCCCCUAAAAAAUAAUAAUUAUAUUCCUUAUAAAUAUGUACAGCCUAAACAAUUGAACUAAAGAUGCAUGUAACCAACAAUGAUAAACAGUUAAUUAAUUGGUCACAAAUCUUAAUAAUAAUAUACAAAUGGGAAGAAACAAAUAGCAAAAAAUUUUGCACCAAUCCAAUGUGUCAAAUCCUCAAGCCCCUUCAUGUCACAUCACCAUUAAAAACUAAUUUUAUUUUUGCCAUUUUAAGCAUUCACACAAUACAAACAAUAAAAUAUCAUUAUCACAUAUUUUCCCUCUUCAAUUCAAAUUUCAAAUUUCAAAAUUUUUCAAAUCAUUCUUUCUUUCCCUUCUACCUUUUCUCUUAUGCCAACAUACAUCAUUUCUCUCUCUUUCAUUCCAAACUUAUUUCUUUUUCUUCCUCACUUUCUCUCUCUUCCUCUUCCUCACAACUCUCUCAUGUAAACCUCACUCUCCCUCCAUGAAACCAUUUUUCCUCUACCUUCUUUCUUCAUUUCCGAUCAACUUCGGCUGCCUCACACAGAAAUAAAACCACCAUAAUAUUCCUCUCUUCAUCCUCUUCAAAACCCACUAAUUAAUUUAUAGAUCUAUCAAGUUCACUCAUGAGGUGAUUUCUAAAAUUGUUGUUUUCCGACCACCGUGGACUGCCUAUGGAGAAAUUAAGCAGAAUAUCUCCUUCACCAUGAAUGCUACAGUAAAACACACAAAAAUUUAUCUUCAUCGGAGAAACUUCGCCAGUGACCAGCGCACCGGAAUUCGCUUCCGCGGCGCCGGAGUUACAAUCAGAAGCUUCUUUUAUUUUCAUUCAGAUCUCUUCAAAGGUUAUUUGUUAAUUUUGUUUGUUUUUUUUUUUUUUCUCUUUUUGGAUACAUUUUGUAUUUCUCAUUCAACCACUUGCAAUAAUGAUAAAUGAUUUUCUGUUUUGAUUUUUUUGUGCAGCAAUAGGUGGAGAAAAAAUAGAGGAAUUGGAACAACUGCAACAUGUUGUGAUCCAUAUCUUUGUUUUCCUUGGUUAGUGGUUUUCUGACCAGUUUAUAGUUUUAACAAAAAACUUCUUUUUAUAUUUCCUUUAGAUUAAGGUUUUGUUAAAUGUGUAAUUUUAUAAUUUUUAGAUUAGUCCUUCAAUUAAACUAUUGUAAUUGUGUAGCAAAAAAUCCAAGUCAUAUCGACUGAAACAAUUGAAUGAUUUUUGGAGUUUAAAUUGAAUCAACUUGAUAAUUAAUUCAAGACAAUUGUUCAUUUGUUGCACAUGCUAAUUAGUUUACACAUUGAUACACAGAUUCAUUUUGAAAUUCAAAACAAGGUGUUUGAAGAUAUUUAAAUGUGCAUUCUUUGGAGAAUUUGUGAAUAAAUUUACAUGAUUUCAACUUAAGAGGGCCAAUGAAGUUCUGUUCAUGAUUUUGGAUUUCAUAUGAUUUUGGAUUACAUGUGAAUAAAUGUACAUGUAGUUUAAUUUUUGGAUUUCAUAUGAAUUUUUAUUGUGAAAUUGAACACUCACCAAGUGUUUGACAAAAUGUCUCAACAUUGAAAACUGAUGGCAAAUAUAAACAACAACAUCUUGGUCUUUGUUUGGUACUUUUAUAUACAAUAUUAAAGUUUAUUGGCGGUUCUGUCAUGUUUAUUUAGACUUUACUGGUGUUGUUCCUUGAUAAAGAUAUGCAAUUUUAAACAAAAACACAUUUAUUUAACUAUACUUUUAUGUGAUUCAUGCUAAUUUAAAGGUUCUAUGAUUGUUACUAUAAUAAAUAUGUUAGUAAUGGUUCUAUGAAUAAGUUAAGGUCAUAAGUUUGGUUAGCUCUUAAUUUUUGAAAGAAGCAUACUGCAGACAAAUUCAAAUUACAAGAGUUAGUAUCUUAUUUCAUCAUCUUUUGAUGCUAUUAUUUGUGUUAGUUUUUAUUAUUAUUAGAAAACAAUUCUUGCAUCUAACACACAUUCAAAUUUCAAAUUUGAAUGUGUCUAUCAUUUUUAAAUUCAAACAUAUAUCCACUAAAAGACAUGCUUACACACAUUCACAAUGCUUACAUCACACAUGCCAAUUUCGUCAAACAUCAAAAAGAGAUAUUAUUUGAUUUUACUUAUACUUUGUUUUGUCAUUAAAACUUCAAUGAUUUCUAAGCUUAAGAGUAUUUCCUAUAAUGAGUAUAAAAGUACCACAUUUUUGUAUCUUUUAUGCAAGCUUAAAUCAUGACCUAUUUAUCUAGGUAGAAAAAAAAAUCCUUUAUUUUUGGUGUUUGGAAUCUUUUACCAUUUUCAUGAGAUUGAGAUUUAGAAUCAUAUUUAAAUAUUUACAUAUUGGUCAAGUUCAGAAUUUGAAUCUGAAUAUGACACAUCUCUUUUUUUUGUUUUUUUUUCUUUCACACUCUGUCUAUGUUUGGUUGUUUGAGCUCCAAUAGAAGACCUCUGUUCAGAUUUUUGUGUUUUCUUUUAAUGCUCAUAUCUGCCUACAUGUUGCUUGAUCGAAGGUUUUUGAAGAAAUUCCACAUCCAUAUAUAAUCAAGAUAAAGAGAAGGGUUGUUCUUGAUGAUCUUAAACAAGUAAGAUCAAUCUUAUUUUUAUAGAUACUACUUAAUCAGGUCUUAUUAGUUAUUCAUUCAGUGCACUCAUAUUUCAAUGUUUUGGCAGAUUUUGAAGCGUUACAUGAGAGAUCAAGAUUUGUAUUUGAGAUUAAUGGCCAUGAGGUAACUUCAUUUCUUAGUUUAGAUUUAUUUUUUUGUUAUUAGUGAUUUUCCUUUCUUUCAAUUGGUCUUUAUAUAUGGGAGAUUUGUAGUAGUGUGGAAGAUAUCACAAUAGAAUUGGCCAAAACUAACCAAUGAGAAAAAAAUUAGAAGUCUUUUCUUUCUACAAAUGACCAGUCCUAUUCCAUCUGCAAUUUUCUUUAAACACAAGAUGCUUUGUUGGCCCCCCAAAAAAAGAUGAUAUGUUGUACACAUGACCAGUCACAUUCUAUCUGCAAUUUUCUCCCUUUUCAAUCAAGUUUUCAAAUUCAAAUCCCUCCAAAAUAUUUUAUGAUCCCUAUAUUUGUGGCUGACAGUGUUGGAAUUUCACAUUUUGCAAUGUCUAUGGAUGUGGCCUCACUGAUUGCUCCUUGGUGUCAAACUAUGGUAAAUAUUUUUUACCUAUUAGGUUGAUCCUUUGCUAUUCUGGGUUUUUACUAUAAACUCAAUUGUUGAUCCUAAUGCUCUUUCCAUACACCCUAUGGCAAAGUUUUUUGUGGGAUUUCAAUUCUAGGAGUAAAAGGAUUAUCAUCUUUUUCUGAUUAUAGUCUUAAACUAGCUAUCAUAUUCUUCUAUAUGAAAUUUUGUGAAAAGUCCAUAUCUUUGAAGAUACUAAUUGUUAGCUGAAAUAUUUUGUACAAAUUUACUCUCUGUCAUUUUGAGUUGAUGGGCCACAAGACAAAAUUCCUGUUAGGAGCUAUAUCAAUUUGUUGUUCAUAUCAUUGAGCUUUUAACCUUUACUUUAUUAUUUUGCCAGCUUGCAUGUAUUGUUAAGUUGACACUAAGUUUUAUGAAUAUGUCAUGCUAUCUUAUUUCCAAAUAGUUAACUAAUCUAAAUGGGGUUUUGAAAUGCUUGACAUUUUUCCCCAUGGCAAUUUCUUUACUAAUUCACUUAACAAGUUAACAUAUAGAUUUAUAUUGAAGGCCUUUGUAAAUCGUGAAAGUGUUUUGACUCCUUUUGGCACUGAUUGGAAAUAUAAUUGUUAGUGUUAUAACUUAUAGGUUCUUUAUCUAUUGAACCAGGGCCUGUUUUGAUUGAUUUCAUGAUGCCCUUGCUUUUUGGCUGUUGCGGUUCUAUGAACUAAGGUAACAUCCUAAACUUUAGUUCUCAAACUAUUGUACCCAAACAUGGAUAUUAAUAUAUUAUAGUAUCAUCUUUGAUUAACUGUCUUGGUUAUGCUUUAUGAUCAAUGAAAUACUUUAGGAUGAUACAUUUAAGUAAUUAAAUACUUUUAGUAGAUUAUCGUUAUUUUUAAACUUAUAAUCAGUUUGAUGAGAGAGAACGAUAUGUUAGGAUCAAUGGAAGGUUACAGAGAUGAAACAAUAUGUAAGGGUGGAAUUGAGUUCCCUAUGAUACAAAACUGGAACAGUUAUGAUGGGGUACCUGGACAAGAACCUGUUUUUAAUUCUUUCAUGCAUUUGAUGGUUAAGAUUAAAUAGGUAUGCAAUUUAACAAUAUUAGAUUUACCCUGGGAUUGACUUUUAAUUUUAAUUUUUUUUAAAUAGUACCUCUUCUUAAUGUUAGUGUGGAAGAUAUCACAACCAAUUACACGUUUGAGAGUUUCUCCUUCAAGGUAUCUAAUUAAUUCUACCCUUCCUAUCUUCAGCCAUCUGUUAGACUAUGUUUUCUCAGCUAGGUUGCAUUUUGUUUUUAUCACCUUCCUAUUUAAUUUCAAUCUCCCUACUGUAGUUCCUUUAAAGAAUAUUCAUUUUUGUUUGUUAGAAAAUUCACUAUUGACUUUGCAGAGCCAUUUCAUAGUGCUGAAUUAAGAUUUUUACAUAAAUGAUCAUAAAUCAAUGAUUGUUGGAAAAUUGAUACUAGAGAGGCAGAGUCAUUUUUUUUACCAAAUGACUGCAAUAAACCAAGUUACUUGUCUGUUUUGAAUCACAAGAACACAUUAAAUUUGAUAUUGUCUGUGUUAAAUGCAAUGUUCAUUCAAGUUUUAUUCGAAUUCAUUUUCCCUUUUGGAAUGGCGAUGAAGAAUUUAAUGAUAAAAUUAUUGUAGAUUAAACAGUUUUCACUUGCACUCAUUUGAAGACUAAUAAAACAAUCUCCCUACUUAAUAUCAUUGACUUAUAAAUUUGCUGGUAUAGGCAAUAUUGGAGCAAUGGGGGACUAGCAUGUGACUAAUUUUACAUGGAUAGGAAGGUGUUGCUAUAAGCUUCUGCAACAAGUAUAAGAGUGAAUACAACUGUCUAUCAAGUUCUUCAAUAGUGUGUUACAUACAAAAACAAUAGACAAUUAUUUAAAAAAAGUAUAUAGAUUGAUUGAAAGGCAAAAAAUAUUAGACAAUUGUGUAUUAAGUUCUUUAUCAAAUUUGUAACUCAAAACUGAUUAAAUUGAUAUAAAUGAUGUAUGAUUUACGGGAAGCAUAACAGAUGCUUACUUAUUUGUGAAGUAGAUGUUUAAGCUAUUAUUGACAAUGACUUUUUACUAAGUUUCCUUUUGAAUUGUGUUUUUUUCUUUUUAUAUAUUUCUUUUAGUGUUUUGUUUAUUAAGUUUGAAUUAAAUUAGUUCAAACUUCACCCACAAUUCAAACUCAAAAUUCAAACAUUCACACUUUCAAUCUCUCACUCUUUAUUUCUUAUUCUUCUCUCUCUGUGUAUGGCAUAAAUCAUAUUGAAUAUUCUCUAAACAUAUAUUUCAAUGCUAACCUCAAACAAAUCAAUAUUUCCUAUACAUGGGGGCUAUAAAUAUUUGAUGGUAGUUUGAAAUUUUAUAUUUCUCUAAAUAUGGGAUGCUAUAAUAAGUAUUUGAUUUAAGUCCUAAAUUUCAUAUUCUUCAAACAUGGGGCUAUAGGUAUUUUAGUUAAUGUGAGGCUAUAAUAAGUAUUUGAUUUAAGUCCUAAAUUUCUUAUUCUUCAAAUAUUGUUGUGAUUAACAAUUGUAUUAGUGUUAAAAUCACAAACUCCACUCAAUUAAAUUAUAAGACAAACUCCACUCACAAUUCAAAUACCCACACUUUCAUCCUAUUCUCACUUUCACUCUCAAACAUUAUAAUAUUGCAUAUGGACAGUUGUAUGUUGGUGUUUGGAGGGUACCACCAAGAAAGGGUUUGACAAUGUUGAUUUUGGAUGAAGAUGGCAAUCCAUGCACCUCAACUAUCAAUGUUGUUUAUCCGGAUGUGUUUGAUAAUUUGUAGAAAAUAGCUUAUUAGGUAUGAAUAUGUGUAUAUUUGAGCUUUAUGGUCAAUUUGAAUUAUCCAAUAUACAUUAAUCACACGCAAAAACCUUUAUUUAAUUUUGUAGAUAAAUUUGGAGUUAUCAAACGAUGAUGCAUCUAUUUUAAAGAUGAAUUUAUUUAUUUUUUUGGAUUAAUUGAUCUUCCAAGUAUUGACUACUUUUUUGUGACUUAUAACAUGUGUAGUCAUUAAUCAUUAUUGAUCAGGGUUAUGCAAUGAUUUUAAAUUAAAUUGAACUAUAUGUCAAAUGAUGACAACAUAAGCUGAUUCUUUUAACAAGUGCAUUAUAUGUUUUUAUUUUAAAGGUACGUUCAAAGUAAUAAUUUAGUUAAGACGCAAAAAAUAUUUUUUCGCCCGUGCGUUGCACGGGUGGAAAUACUAGUAAAUGACAUGCACAGUUGCACGCAAUAAACUUCCACUGCUUCUUAAAUUUAAUGGAUGGUGUUGGGAAUUUUGCGUUCUUGCUUAAAAGCUUCUAUAGUUUUUAGUCUUCCCAUUCAAAACAAAUAAAAUAAGAUAUAUUCAAAGAAAGAUUAAAAAGAAAUAGCAUUCAUUAGAAGAGUUUACUUUCAAACCGAUGGAAAUAAAAUAAUAGAAGUAAUAUUUUUUUUAAGGAAUAGAAAUAAUAUUAACAACACUCAUUCUCCAUUUGUUUUCCAUUCUCUGUUUGAACUAUGUUGUUGAUGUAACCUUUUCUCUAUUUAGUUUCCUUAUUAUUAAUAUAUUUUAGUUUGGUUUCUUAAAAAAAAAAAAAAAGAGUGUUGUUACCUAGUUGGAACACUAAAGUUGAAAUUGAAAGUUGCAAGAAUAAACACCACCAAGUCACAUGCACAAUGGAUAUAACUAGUGUUGUGUGAAUUGAAAAAAACGAAAGUCUCACAUUAAAUAGAACACACAUUAGUAGAAUUUACAAAUGAGGAGUCACUCACAAGGUGUGUCUUGGGACCCUUGGGCUACUCACGAAAAUAUAUAUAUCACACGCGCGGCGACACCGUCAUCCGAAAGUGCGGAGACACCGCCAUCCGAACAUUCUAUAAUGCAUUAGUUAAUCGUAGUACAGUCAAUCUUGCACAAUUUUUUUAUUAGUGUUGCAAAACAGAACAAUGUGGUCGUGACUCAACCUAAUAGAUUUUUCGAUGAUAAUUCUUUCAACGUGUUUUCGAAUUCCAAAACCAACGAUUACUCUUAUUUAAAUUACACCAUUAAAACACAAAGUAUACGGAUCUAACUAUGCAAAGAAUACGACAUAUGAGUCAACAACAAAGUGUAACUCAAUGCAGACAAAGACGAUGACCCAAGUCUACCCAUCAAAGUCAAGUAAGCCCUUUGGAUGGAUAAGUAAUGCCCAUUUUCCUUUCCUCUACUUGGAUGACGUCAAAUCUACAUCCACUUUGUUCUCUACACACAUCAAUUAACAUAUUUUCAUAUUUUCCCAAUAAUAGUGCUAUAUACAUCAUUAUAAAUUAUACCUUUUUUUAUAUUUAAAAAGGAGUUAAUUUAUCCAAAAUUUACAAUCAUGUCCAAAGGAAAGCUCCUAGUCUCCAACUACUAUCUUCAGGUGCACGACUGUGUAAUUCACAAAGUUCUUCACUCAUAGUGUAUACAUUAUUCUAUAAGUUAUCUUCCUCUAAAAAAAAAAAAAAAAAUCAAUAAGUUAUCCUGGAUUGGAGAAACUAUUAAAUUUCCUUAUAGAAUUCAAUAUCAUAUAGCUUUAUUUGGAUUGAACUGUUAAAAUUUAUAUAACAAAUUUUAAUUCUUCAAAUAGAAUUUUACUAUCAAGAUGAAAAAAUUUACCAGGCUUUAGACCAUAUUUUUUAUUUUUACUUUUUCUCACUUAUGUGUGUGUGCAAAAAUAUUUUAUAUUUGAGUUUGUGACUAACUAUUGCUCAUAUAUCAUGUCAUAGCCACAAGUAACAAGUGUUACCGAAGAUACUACUUUGACAUACGAUUUAUAUAUUUACAAAUACGGAAUGUUAACGAGUGUCUUCGGGGCACUCUUUAAGACCCAUAAGUAGUAAGUAUUUUUAAAAAUGCAUGUAAUCAUUGCCUUUGAAAUUGAAAUAUUUAACUUUUUUAAAGAAUAAUUACUUAUUUUAGAAUGCUUAAAGAGUGCCCCAAGGACACUCGUUAACAAGACCCUUAAAAAUAUAUUGUCAACACAAAAAAUGGAGAUAAACUUAAUUGAUAGUCACAAUUUCAAUUAUAUUUUUUUGUCUAAAUCAAAUGUGUAUAAUUGUAGAAAUUAAUAUCUCAAAUUGGAUAUGAUCACAAUGGAUAUGUGAAGCCUUGAUACUUCAAAAUAGAUGAUGUAUCGAAUCCCUUGCGUAUCAUCUACCGAUACCUGCUUGAUACUUCCCGAUACGUAUCAGGAGAGUAUCCGAAGAUUAAUUUUUAUUUUUUAAAAAAAUAAUUAUCUGAUACUUCCCAAUACGAGUAUCCGAUAAUUAUUCUGCAUCGAUACCUACCCCGAUAUUUUCCAAUAUUAAUGUUAACUAAAAUAAUUUAACUUUUGAGUACUAAUGUGUUCUUUUUUUAAUAUAGUGCUUAUUUUUUGGAUCGAUAAAGUAUAGCACUAACGGAUAUAGUAUAGCACUGAUGGUGCUCUUUUUGGGAUAUAUUGUGUAUGUAAUUGAUUAAUCAUCACUCUCUUAAUCGUCAAUAUUAUAUUUAUAUUGAUGUGCUACGAGCCUAUGACUGAUUUCUUUUGUUUGUUAAUAUAUUUGUAUAUUAAAAAAAAGAUUAUAAUUAUAUUGUACAUUUAAUUAUAUAUUUUUUAUUAACGUAUCCCAGCCGUAUCGUAUCUUGAUUUUUGAAAUUUUUCCGUAUCGACGUAUCGAUGCAGUAUCGUAUCCAUAUCGUAUCUCAAAUCCGGGCAUCACAACAAUGGAUGAUAAAGUUCUCCUUCAAAAAAUUAAAUAUUAUUGUAUUGUUAAAGUUAGAUUCAAAUCCAAAACCACUAAAUAAAUAGAAAGAAAUCCCUUAUCAUAUCAUCCUAUUACAAUCUAUAUACUUAGUCAAAUAUACACUACAACUAAAUAGGAUAAUCUCAUAAAAAAUGACAAGAUACUCCCUUUACUGGAAAAUAUAGGGAUAAUAGUUAUUUUAAUAUCUGAAUAUAUAACGAGUAGCUAUAAUAGUCACUUAAUGUAUCAAAAUUUUAAAUAGUUUUUGAUUGUGCAAUUCUUUAGUCAAAAUAAUCAAUGACGUAAAAAUAGUCUGUCAAUGUUGACAAGAAAUCUUUUCUUAUAUGGACCGAUAUGAUAAUAAGUAAAUACUAAUAACAAUUGAUAUAACAGUAAGUAAGUAUAUUGAUGGACUCAUAUGACAGUAUUUGUUGUGAAUUCAUUAAAAAUCACACCAAUAAAACGUGAUGUGUGGAGCAAAUUAAUAAAGCAACCAAUAUCAACGUGGCUAACAAUUAUAAACACAAGCAAAAGUUAUAACAACGAGAGAGAAGAGAAAGAACACAAGCAAAUUUGUUUACCCAGUUCGAUCCAAUACUGACCUAGUCAGGGGAGAGAGCAGUUCUAUGUUCCACAGUAAUGAUGAGUAACUUUACAAAAGAGAUAUCGAAGGGGUUACCAUAACAAGUCUUCAAACUUAAUUCUACCCAAAAUCCUGAAUCUCUUCCCGCGACCAAGAGACUCAAUCCUAAUAGUGUUUCUCCAAGGUAAAUCAAUCCCAACGCUAGUGUUUGUUGCCAAGAGAAUUAUCUACAAACCCUGCAGGGGCGUAGCCCUUCAUAUGGGAGGGGUAGCCUUGGCUACCCCAAAAAAAAUAUUAUUCUUGAAUUAGUCGGUAUGUAUUGAUAUCUGGCUACCCCAAUUAAUAAACAUUUGGCUACCUCAAACAAGUUUAGUUGCAAAAAUUAGCAUAAAUAAUAAAGUAAAAAAACUACUCCAAAAUUAAUAGAUUUAUUUGUAUUGGUUUGAUACUUUCGGUCUUAAUAACAACAAUAGGUCUUAAUAACAAUACAAAAACCUUUUUCAACAAUAAAAAUUAUCAAGAGAAUAGUCAUAGACAAAUUAAAUGGACAAUGAGUUUCUUGCAAAUAACUUAUUUAUUUACAUUUGAAAAGACAUUAUUAAUCUAUUAUUAAACAGACAGUUAUUGAUGAAAUUGGGUUCUUCAAAUGCAUUUUGCCCAAACAUUUAAAAUAACGAUUUUUAUGUUAAGUUUCUAAGAUUUGUUAAUUUUAGUAUUUAAUUUUUUGUUAGAGAUUAAAUUCAAGACUAAAAACACUUUUUUUUUUUUGUAAAAUUUUAAAAAACUGAGAUAAAAAUUGAAUAAAUUUUUUAAGGACUAAACCUAAAAAAUUAUAAUUUAUGAGACUAAAAAUAUACUUUAUCCUUAAAUUUAAUACAUCUGUUUUCAAAAAAAAAAUUCUUCUUUAUAGUUGGCCCCUGCAUAAAUUUUUUACGAGCUUCGCCGCUGAAACUCUAGGUUUGAUGUUGGCUUUUAAACCCUUGUUUUAUGGCUCUUUACUCUCACUCAUUUCAUCUGAUACAAGGUUUAUAUUUAUAGUGAAGCAUCCCUUAAAAAAUGGAACAAAUUCAAGCCCAAAAAAUAUGUUUUAUUUUUCAGUUGAUGCGAGAAAUCGGGCACCAAUUUCAACCCUUCGGGCGCCGAUUUUCGCCGAGACGAUAGUCUCAAAAAUGAGCAAAAUUGAGGCCCCGAUUUUGUCUCUCCUGCAACCAUCAAUUUUGAGUCACUUUCAACAGUAUUAAUAUAACAUUUUAACGCGAAUGACUAUUUUGACUAACGAAAUGCAUAAUCAAUGACUAUUUUAUAAUUUACAUUUAGGAACUAUUGUAUUUACUCAUUACACAUUCAGGGACUAAAAUGACUAUUACCCUAAAAUGUAAGCAAAAUGGAUUAAAAAAAAAAUCAAAUGUAUUUGGAUCAAAAUUUAUAUUAUUACAUUUUCACAUUGGAAAAAAAAUUUACUUAAAAAGGGGUUGUCGCCCUUAAUCCUCUCUUCUCUUGACUAGUCUUUCUUUCCCUCUAUGGUAGAGCAGCCAGGGGAAGACUUUCACAUCACUAAUAAUGCCUUUUAUCACACGUAAAAUUGAAUGUCGAUAUUUACCUAGUUUUUUAGAUAAUAAUAGAGAAAAUUGAAUGUUGAUAUUUCAACUUAUUUAGGCACACCUAUUACAGAGUACUAAAAUUUAUAAAUGAAAAUAAUUGAGGCCAAAAAUUUGGAGGAAAUUUGAAUAGAGAUUAAGUAAAAAUUUAUGUCCAUAAAUCCUAACUCAACUGAAAAAAUAUUGAAAUUGUUAGAUCAGACGCUAUGAUCGAAAUUCGAACUCCGGGACCUCUACUUGUGUGUGAGUUUAUAAUAGGUUUGCCAUUUCGUCUAUUAAAAAAAAAAAAAAAAAGUUUAUAACGAGAAAACAUGUUUUUCCUUAAUAAUUUUUUAAGAGUUAUAAUCAAUUUUUCUUUUUAAAAAUCUAUAUAAAAGUUUAUUGAAGGUUAAAAUCAAUUUCUUUUUCCUCAAAUAUGAGUUUUCUUAUUAAGCCUAUAACACUCACAAACCACAUAUAUUUAGUAUACCAAGUUUUUAUAGCGUGUAACUCUCCAUUACAUACCCUCUAAGAGAGGGACUUGAAUCCUCUAAUUUAAUUUGUUAACAUGGCGAGGCCUCUUCUUGUGUCUAACAUGCACACUCUUCUUCUAUUUUCAUCCAUGCCAACCACAACAAUUCUAUUUGUUGUUCUUUCAGUUUUUUCUAUUUUUUCCAUCAUCACUUUUCUAUGUGGUUCUAAGAACAUGAAGAAGCUCCACACAGAGGCGGAGGAGGAAGCAACGGUGUCUUCGACCAAGGAAACUAAGCUAAUUUCGAAGCUAAACAGUAAAAUUAGCACCAGAGCUAUUUCAAUGGUGAGGAUGCUAUCUUGGAGAAAAGUGCAGGCUGAAGGAGGAUUGGAAGAAGGAAACCAAGAAGAAGAAGUUCUUUGGAGGAAGAACAUCUUGAUGGGAGAAAAGUGUCGCCCGAUGGACGACGAAAAUUAGAGAUUUUUUAACGGUAAAUGUUAAUAUUGUUAUUUUUUUAUGACGACCAUAAGAUCAAACUUUAGACCUCCUUACACUAUUUAACUUUUCAAUCAGCCACCAAAACAUCUUUAUAUGCAUAAAGAAAAUUAGUAGUAACUUCUAAACUCGUGUAAGGGGAUAAAGGAUUUGUUUUGGAUUUUACAUAGGGUUUGGACUUUGAUUUGAAGGGUUAGAUUCAAAGUUUAUCGAUCGAGGUUUUUCAGAGUUGGAUUUCUAAUUCUAUGUGCUAAUUUGCUUCCUAAAAAAUAUCUCAAUGUUUUCUUUCAUAUGUGGUCCAUGUUGAACCCGUGAAUGAAUAUUGCCUAAAAAACCAGCUAUGAUUAAUGAUGCUCUAUAGAAGUAGAAGUUGAUGGGUUUUAUCCUCACAACUAAGAUCGUAAGUUGUAACUUGAUCGAUGUAAGUUUAAUAAAAGUAAGAAAAAAAAUAAAGGAUUAAUCCUCGUAACAUUUUCCUUUAGUAAUUUUAGGGAUCAAAAAUACCAACGACAAAUUUUACAUAACUAAAAAGGUUGAUCGAAAAUUUUACACGAACUAAAAAUACUUAAAGAAAAUUUUACAAAGAAUGAAACGUGCAAUUUCUUUUUAAGAACUAAAAACAAAAUUUUGAAUAUUUAUUAUGAUCAAAAAAUAGUGCGCUCUUGUUCAUCACCUUUAAUUUCGUCAUCUCAACGUUGAAUUGUUGUAGCACAAAAAAAUUAUCCUUCUUGCACAAACUAAAACAAUAUCCUUUGUAUUUAGUUGUGGAUUAGAGAAGAUAUAUUUCACAAAAAAAAUAACAUUUAGGGACUAAUUGGUUGUUUUUCACAUGACUUUUUAAAGACUUAAUUGAUGUAUUUUUGGAGUUUAAGAACUACUAAUGAUCAACUUAAUACGAGUGUUAACCAAUUGAUGGGCUAAUAGUUGGAUGAAAGAAUAGUUUUUGGACGUUUUUAGUUGAUUAUAGUAGUUGAUGGACUGAAUUUGUAAAAAAGUGGUAUUUUAGAGGUUGACUGUUUGUUUGUUCAAUGAAAAAAUAUAUGCAAAGUUUCUAAAAUCUCAUUUACUAAUUUAACACCUUUGAUUUGUAUUUUACUUUUAAAAUAUGAAAUUAUCAAACAACGUCAAUUUUACUUUGAAAGCUCUUUUUUCUCUUUAAUUUUGAAUUAGUUUUUUUGAGCCAGAAAUAACAUGGACAAAAUACCUAUUGUGAGAAUUUAUUUAUUUUUUUGGUCAAAGAGAAUCUUUUAUUAAGUGCAAAAUAAAGUUUUAGAAUUUGUUAUGUGCUGCUUUGUUUGGUAAAUUAGUAGCACAUCUUGACUAUUUUGUGAUACAAAGAUUAAUUAACUUUUAUUUAUCCUAACUAUUAUAGUACACUCAAUUUUCUUGUUUAUAUUUCAAUUCCCGCUGCCGUUUAUAAUCAACGAUAUUAUAUUAGUAUUUUUGAAGGGAUCAUGCUAACAAGUACCCACUUGUUAGUAUUUCCCUUCUUUAAAAACCAAAAUACUGCAUUAAUAAGUUAAUUUUUUUGUUCUUUCUAGUACAUAUUUUCCUCUUCAAAACAAAAAGAAAAGUACUUUUUUAUUUUACAAAACUAAGGCAUUUUUGCAACAUAAAAUUAGAUACACGUAUGAAAGGGGAUGUUGUUGAAUAUUGAUGUCCAAAUACAUUUUACUCACAAAAACAUUAAAACAAUACGGAACAUCGUUUAAUAAUUUGAUACUAACAUGGCUCCGUUGGAUUGGUGUAGAUUAGAAGUGGAGAGAUAAGGUUUGUGGUGCAAAAUUGUACUCCUUUUGUUUCUUAUUAAAUGUGGUGGUUGAUAUUUUAAAGAUUAUUUUGACCAAGUAAGUUUUGUUAAGGAGUAUAACGGUUAGGAAUUCAUAAAUAUAAAUUUUAUCUUGAAAACUUGAACAUCUUAUAUCUAACAUUUAUUUUUAUAUAUUAAUACAAAAAUAUGAUUAAAGUAGAUUAUAUGAAUAAUAAACAUGAUCAAACCGCGACACUUAGAAAGAGUAAUUCAUAAGUAUAGCUUAAAAGACUGUUUGGUGAGUUGGAAUUCAAAGGGGGUUCCUCUUAAAUCUUAAUACAGAGAUAUAAAUGAAAUUGAUAAAGGAAAUAAGGAAUGAAGGAAUAUUCAUAGAAUGGAUGGUUCAUGGUUGACAAGAAGAUUCACCAAAGUAGUUGGGAACUAAAGGGAUUCAUUAUUUUUGGAAAGAUUAGUGACAAGACGAAAGGGUGAUGAAGAAUAAGUUCAAGCACGUAUAUACCAUUGCAACUGAAAACGAUAGCACGGUGGAUAUGUAUGUGAUCGUAAGUUAAAGGACGUUCAACUUGGGGUUGGAGGAGGAGAAGAUUUAAUUUUAGUGCUUGAAGUGCAAACGGUAAAUAAGAUAAAGAAAUAUCUUGUAUCCUUCUUCCGUAACCAAAAACAAGCACUACAUAUAUGAUCAAGCAACGAGGCACGAUUUCAACGCAACACUAAUUAAUUGAUUUUCUAAUCUUAGCACUACAAUACAAAAUACAAAUAUAUGCAUUUAUAGACAUAUUUGUCUAUAUAUAUAUAUAUAUAUAUAUAUACUCUAGUACAAAUGUACAAUCUAACUAUCAUGCAGUACUAAUAAAAAAUCUAAGAGGAAAUACUAUUGAGGAGCUGCUUCAACAGGACUUUCUUCAAUCUCCAUUGGACUAAAACUCACUCGUUUCUGCAAAAUAUUUAACAAAACAACAUUAAUUCAUUAACACAAUUUUCUGGAAAAAUGGAUUAGUAGCUAAAAGAUGAAAUGAAUCUAUUUACUAAGAAACUAUACAUAUUAUUAGAGUCUAAAACAACUUUAAGUGCACGGUUGGUAUUACGGUGUGUAUGUUAGAAUCACGAUAAUUAACCAUGAUUUUGCAGAAGCUACAAAGUGUAGCUUUUAGGAAAUCACAAUGGAUCAUCAUGAUUCUGACAUAUUCACCGUGAUACCAAACAAAGAAAUGUUCUUUCCUCUGUCUUUUUAUUUUAUUUUUCCCCUUGUUAAAUUGGGUAUUUGAAUACGCCAAAAUCUCCUAUAAUAGGUUUUAUUGUGCCACACCAACAAGUAAACGACGAGUAUUAGUAUAUUGAGUUCACAUGUAAAUGAUCAAAAUAAUUGAGUGCAUGCGUAUGUAAUAAAGCUACAAAAACUGUAAGUUGUUCUCUAGCGGUUUGUUAGGAUGUGAAACCUCCAAAAUCCUUUUCAGUUUUCACAUAGCAUGUUUGACAUUAUUUGAAGUAAAAUAAUGUAUUUUACUUACUUGAAAGUUAGGAAAUGUAUCAUGAAGAAACUAUACAUUAAAUUGAUAAAGUACUUCCC
rnacentral:lncRNA from 1 species